rnacentral:rRNA from 1 species
AUCUACGGCCAUGCCACCCUGAACACAUCCAAUCUUGUCUGAUCUUGGAAGCUAAGCAGGGUUGGGCCUGGUUAGUACUUGGAUGGGAGACCACUCAGGAAGACCAGGUACUGUAGGAG